ensembl:lncRNA
GCUUAUCACAAAAAUAUAGUUUAUUCCAAUUUCAAAUCACUACCCCCCAAAAAAAUAAUUUUAAAACAAUUACUCAUCUUUUCCUAUGAUAGAUAAAAUAAGCCUGACAAAAUUAAAGGGGCCUUUCAUGCUACCCAGAAAGGAGUCCAUACGGCGUUUUCUGGGUUACUGUCUUAACUUAAAGGGAAACUUGCACAACGUCCAGAGCCUUUGAUGUCCCACAAAUGAAGGACGAGGGUAUCCUCAAAUUCUUGGCAAGAGGAACCCACUUAGGCAGCACCAACCUUGAUUUCCAAAUGGAACAGUCAUCUACUAAGGAAAAAGUGGUGGCAUUACCUCAAAUAUCUGAAGAGAACCUGGGAGAAGCUUCUGUUGGCAUCUUGUGCCAUUGUCUCCACUGAAAAUCUGGCUGACAUCAGUGUCACAUCCUCCAGAAUACUGGCCAGUGAGUUGUGCUGAAGUUCACUGCUGCUGUCAUUGGAGCCACUACUACUGUUGGCCACAGCACUCCUGGAAGCUUCCCUGAUGGGAUCCAGGCAGCUCCGGCAGCCGUGUCUUCCGGGAGUCGUGUCUUCCGGGAGUACUGAUCCCACGGCUGACCGCCAGCUUCGCACAGGGGCACCUUAUGUUAACCUGCCCACCAUCUCAGUGUGUAACACAGACACUGCUCAGUGCUACGCGGGUAUUGUCAUCCCGGGCCACAACCGGGGAGCUCGCUCAGUUAGGUGUGAAGUAGGGGUUGCUGGCUAGGGAAGUUCUGCGCAUGCGCAGCUCCAUGUCCCGUGAGCAUUCGGGAGAGGUCAUGCGUGAUCUCCUUCUACAGAGCUCCCGAAGAGAGGAAAAGGAAGAGUAGGCUGCUGCUGAAAAGGCUGCCACCAAGGAGGAAUUCCAGAGUGAAUGGACCCCUCCGGCUCCCAAGUUCACUGCUUCUUAACCUGAGGUCGCAGCCGGGUCAGGUGGCACGUAGGUGCCCUCUGUGUCUAUUCAGCGGUUGCCUCCUGCGGACCGGAUGGAGCCUCAGCCUGUCACUGAGGACUGGUCUGCAGCUCCUACUGCUCGGGCCUUUCUGGAGUAAAUGAACAUUUAGACAUGGCGAAGCAACUGUAUUUGAAGAAAAGAAGAAAAGUGAAGGCAAUACUUGGCAUAAGGAGAGGAAGAAUGAGAAGGAUGUCCAAAGAAGGAGCCAGAAAGGAAAGAGGAGAAGAAAGGCAAGACCAAAUCAAUAGUGGGAAGAAUCGAGUCAAGACAGAUGUCAUAACUGUAUUAAAGGUCAAUGAGGUUUAAACAAAUUGGACUCUACUCAUAAAUAAUUGACUCACCAUUUAUACCAAGGUACAGAUAAACCAUGGUGUAGAAAUCAUGCCUCUCUGGAUAGAAUGGAUGUUACUGCUCCUCCAGAAUGGUCUGUGGGACAAGAAGAGUGAUUGACAACUGCAGAAAUUACAUCUGAGGUUUAGUCCUGCAGGAAAAGGGGAUACAAAUUGCCUGCAAAUUAUCCACAAGUCCCUGAUGAGCCUGAGGAGAAAAUUUAAGAGGCUUCAGUCUUUCUUCAACAAACACGUUCACGUAUUUCCCUUUGCUAUAACACACAAACACCCAAGAGAAAUUGUCCCUGUGAAAACACUACUUUUGUUUCUUAUCCUUGUCAAAUGUUGCAACAGUAAAUGUGUAAAUGCCAA